UGAGCAAUCUGCCCUUCUCAUCGGAAUAAGCGUUGGAAACGACGUCUAAUGCCGAAUACGACCUCCUUUCGCAUGAUCGGAGGUGGAAAGCUCCGGCGGAGAAGGAUGAGCUCGCGGCCUAUCAGCUUGUUGGUGGUGGAUGGCCACCAAGGCGACGACGGGUAGCCGGCCUGAGAGGGUGACCGGCCACACUGGGACUGAGACACGGCCCAGACUCCUACGGGAGCAG
rnacentral:rRNA from 1 species